rnacentral:rRNA from 1 species
AUGAACGCUGUUCUGAAAGUAUGCAGUCUGAGUUGAUUAUCGUAAUCAGUUAAAACUUUCAACAACGGAUCUCUUGGUUCCGGCAUCGAUGAAGAACGCAGCGAAAUGCGAUAAGUAAUGUGAAUUGCAGAAUUCAGUGAAUCAUCGAGUCUUUGAACGCACAUUGCGCCCCCUGGUAUUCCGGGGGGCAUGCCUGUCCGAGCGUCAUUGCUGCCCUCAAGCACGGCUUGUGUGUUGGGCCCCCGUCCCCCUCUCCCGGGGGACGGGCCCGAAAGGCAGCGGCGGCACCGCGUCCGGUCCUCGAGCGUAUGGGGCUUUGUCACCUGCUCUGUAGGCCCGGCCGGCGCCAGCCGACACCCAACUUUAUUUUUCUAAGGUUGACCUCGGAUCAGGUAGGGAUACCCGCUGAACUUAAGCAUAUCAAUAAGCGGAGGAAAAGAAACCAACAGGGAUUGCCUCAGUAACGGCGAGUGAAGCGGCAAGAGCUCAAAUUUGAAAGCUGGCCCCUUCGGGGUCCGCGUUGUAAUUUGCAGAGGAUGCUUCGGGUGCAGCCCCCGUCUAAGUGCCCUGGAACGGGCCGUCAUAGAGGGUGAGAAUCCCGUCUGGGACGGGGUGUCUGCGUCCGUGUGAAGCUCCUUCGACGAGUCGAGUUGUUUGGGAAUGCAGCUCUAAAUGGGUGGUAAAUUUCAUCUAAAGCUAAAUACUGGCCGGAGACCGAUAGCGCACAAGUAGAGUGAUCGAAAGAUGAAAAGCACUUUGAAAAGAGAGUUAAACAGCACGUGAAAUUGUUGAAAGGGAAGCGUUUGCGACCAGACUCGCCCGCGGGGUUCAGCCGGCAUUCGUGCCGGUGUACUUCCCCGUGGGCGGGCCAGCGUCGGUUUGGGCGGCCGGUCAAAGGCCCUCGGAAUGUAUCACCUCUCGGGGUGUCUUAUAGCCGAGGGUGCAAUGCGGCCUGCCUGGACCGAGGAACGCGCUUCGGCUCGGACGCUGGCGUAA